AGAGUUUGAUCCUGGCUCAGGAUGAACGCUAGCUACAGGCUUAACACAUGCAAGUCGAGGGGCAUCAGGAAGAAAGCUUGCUUUCUUUGCUGGCGACCGGCGCACGGGUGAGUAACACGUAUCCAACCUGCCCUUUACUCGGGGAUAGCCUUUCGAAAGAAAGAUUAAUACCCGAUAGCAUAAUGAUUCCGCAUGGUUUCAUUAUUAAAGGAUUCCGGUAAAGGAUGGGGAUGCGUUCCAUUAGGUUGUUGGUGAGGUAACGGCCCACCAAGCCUUCGAUGGAUAGGGGUUCUGAGAGGAAGGUCCCCCACAUUGGAACUGAGACACGGUCCAAACUCCUACGGGAGGCAGCAGUGAGGAAUAUUGGUCAAUGGGCGCUAGCCUGAACCAGCCAAGUAGCGUGAAGGAUGAAGGCUCUAUGGGUCGUAAACUUCUUUUAUAUAAGAAUAAAGUGCAGUAUGUAUACUGUUUUGUAUGUAUUAUAUGAAUAAGGAUCGGCUAACUCCGUGCCAGCAGCCGCGGUAAUACGGAGGAUCCGAGCGUUAUCCGGAUUUAUUGGGUUUAAAGGGAGCGUAGGUGGACUGGUAAGUCAGUUGUGAAAGUUUGCGGCUCAACCGUAAAAUUGCAGUUGAUACUGUCAGUCUUGAGUACAGUAGAGGUGGGCGGAAUUCGUGGUGUAGCGGUGAAAUGCUUAGAUAUCACGAAGAACUCCGAUUGCGAAGGCAGCUCACUGGACUGCAACUGACACUGAUGCUCGAAAGUGUGGGUAUCAAACAGGAUUAGAUACCCUGGUAGUCCACACAGUAAACGAUGAAUACUCGCUGUUUGCGAUAUACAGUAAGCGGCCAAGCGAAAGCAUUAAGUAUUCCACCUGGGGAGUACGCCGGCAACGGUGAAACUCAAAGGAAUUGACGGGGGCCCGCACAAGCGGAGGAACAUGUGGUUUAAUUCGAUGAUACGCGAGGAACCUUACCCGGGCUUAAAUUGCAGUGGAAUGAUGUGGAAACAUGUCAGUGAGCAAUCACCGCUGUGAAGGUGCUGCAUGGUUGUCGUCAGCUCGUGCCGUGAGGUGUCGGCUUAAGUGCCAUAACGAGCGCAACCCUUAUCUUUAGUUACUAACAGGUUAUGCUGAGGACUCUAGAGAGACUGCCGUCGUAAGAUGUGAGGAAGGUGGGGAUGACGUCAAAUCAGCACGGCCCUUACGUCCGGGGCUACACACGUGUUACAAUGGGGGGUACAGAAGGCAGCUAGCGGGUGACCGUAUGCUAAUCCCAAAAGCCUCUCUCAGUUCGGAUCGAAGUCUGCAACCCGACUUCGUGAAGCUGGAUUCGCUAGUAAUCGCGCAUCAGCCACGGCGCGGUGAAUACGUUCCCGGGCCUUGUACACACCGCCCGUCAAGCCAUGGGAGCCGGGGGUACCUGAAGUACGUAACCGCAAGGAUCGUCCUAGGGUAAAACUGGUGACUGGGGCUAAGUCGUAACAAGGUAGCCGUACCGGAAGGUGCGGCUG
rnacentral:rRNA from 1 species